UACGGAGGGUGCAAGCGUUAUCCGGAUUUACUGGGUUUAAAGGGCGCGUAGGCGGGCCUAUAAGUCGAUUGUGAAAGCCCCGGGCUUAACCUGGGAACAGCAGUCGAAACUGUAGGUCUUGGAUGCCUGAGAGGAUGGCGGAAUUCCCGGUGUAGAAGUGAAAUUCGUAGAUAUCGGGAAGAACACCUGAGGCGAAGGCGGCUGUCUGGCGGUGCAUCGACGCUGAGGCGCGAAAGCGUGGGGAGCAAACAGG
rnacentral:rRNA from 1 species